GUUUUCUAUGCAACCGACACCUUCCCCAGACUGCUUGUUAGCAGUCAUUCCGUGGAGGUGGCUCCCUGCACACGGAACCCAAGACCUGACUGGAAAGUGGCUGGUCCUGUAAACCCCUAUGAGGAGGGAUAAAGUCUGGGGAAAGCGGUACAGAUUUGCUCACAUAUAACCGAACAACGACCAGGCAGAUGCACAGUGAGAAAACUGAGAGGUUGUAAGACCGAUAGAUACAGUGUAGGGCUGACCCUUCCAUCGCUUUAUUCUGUCCGACGAAUCAAGUGACAAUAUCCAUGCCAGGCAUGGGGGCUGAUGCCCGACAAUCUCAGGUCUCAGAGACUGACGGAGAAGGGACACACACACACACACACACGCACGCACUCUCGCUCACGCAUAAGUACGCAGGCGAAGAGCGGGGUCCUUAUGAAAUCAUUCUUGUCUUCCUACUUUUGCACUUUUUUGUGUGUUUCUGGAACAUUCUGUUCUUUCCCACUUCCCUACCAAGAAAUUUCAGCUCGGUGUUUCUUUCCUGCUGCUCUCUCCUCAGUGGUACCCCUGAAGCAGGAGCUCUGUCUGCCCUACUUUUCUUAGCGAGGGAGAGGGGUAGGGGGUGGGGGGUGGGGGGACGGGAAGGUUUCCGGGUGCUGCAGGUGCUGGUGUCUACCUUGCCCAGGCUGUGUCUGUGGCACAGAGCACGAAGGGAACCAUAGGGAAUGCUAAUUGGCUGGCCUGCUGGCUACAGCUCCCUUAAUCACACUUCAGGUUUUAAAAUGUUCCAAUUAGUGGCAGAACUCUCCACUUCUAACACUUCGAAACCAACAGACAAGAAGUGACUGGACCGCGCUUAGUCAAAAACAAAAGCCCAGUGCGAGCCUUUCUCUUUGAGGGAAUCGAUAGUUGCGGGAAGUGAUUGGGCCAGCCUGUCUCUGAUCUUCAUCUUCUGGUUGGGAUGACAACACCCACAAUGGCUAGACAGCAGGCUGACCUUUGUUGCAUGUAGAGUAGACACAUCUCUGGUUUCAAACACCACCUUACAUGAAAGCCAAGGCCAGGCCACAAAGUGGGAGGGGCCGCCACACUGGCCAAUCCAUUUCUCCCAGCAGUGCAAAGAGCUACAGGGUGGAUUUCUCACAACAGAGGAGGUGCAGCUGCUUGUAUCAUUUUAGAUAAAAUAGCUCGUAAGCGUUGUCUGUAGGCUCCACUUUACAGAGACUUGUUGAGUCUGUGGUAUUCCAGGCUACUCUGGGAUCCUAGAAGACGGCCUCCCAGGUGACGGUCAGGGCUUGGGCCAAGAAACUGGCCUUCGGCCCUCUUUACACUGCAAUUCCAUUUCUUCCUUCAUUCUGCUGAGAUAAUUGUACAUUUGGGGAAAAGCAUCGCAAAUACCAGUAAGGAAACAAGACAAGAGGAAGGCAAUUUCUUAUGGUGCUUCUAUUAAUUUAAGUCUUUAUUUUGGUCGACUUCCCUCUGGCGUCCUAUUUUCUGUAUUUACUUCUCAGGGCUGGGAUAAUUACAUUUCUGAUCUCUCCUUUUGUGGGUGACCAGAAUUGGCUUAGUAAUCCUAUUUUAACACUUCAAAGGGUUCUUCUCUUCCGACCUGUGGGGUUCCUUUUGUGCGGCUCCUUCUUAGCAUCCUCUGCACUUCUGACUCCACCCCUCUCCCCCUUUUCUGUUUGCACACAGAUAUCUUCACACUGGGAGCUGCUGGCUGAGACGUCUGUGUUCCACAGCCAAUAGGAAGGAGGCUGGCUCAGGAGGACUCUUCGAAUGAUGGUUUGGGCUAAGGAUUGCUUUCCUGGUAUCUGACAGUGCACUGAGAACACUGAGGCACACCCCACACCCCCACAGAGGAGAUGUUUAACAGAGCCAUGACUGAAUCUCUAAGAACCAACCCCGUCAACCUGUGAAGGGCUCAUGGGCUGUCCUUUUGGUGGGACUUUUAAUUUU
rnacentral:lncRNA from 1 species